GGCUCGGUGGCGCAAUGGACAGCACAUUGGACUUCUAGUGGAACAGAGGAGAAGUGAUUCAAAGGUUGUGGGUUCGAGUCCCACCAGAGUCA
rnacentral:tRNA from 1 species